rnacentral:lncRNA from 1 species
GAAGACCAAGCAGGCAGACGUGUUCGGGGGCCCGCGGGUUCCGAGACUGGAGACUGGACCUUUGGCUGUCCCCACGUGCAUUCUAGGUCAACGGUGCGGUGGCAGAACCCUGGGGCUCUCCCCCGCGGAACUCGGCCCUGGCCGAGGCCCCAACCACGCUAGUAGGAGGAGGCCGAGCAUCCCUCCUCGAAAUCGCGAAAUCCCGGCCCGACAAUGUAGCCACGGAGUCGAAAGCCGCGUGCGAACUUGGCACUCACAAAGCCUAGAUAACCGUCUAUUUUCUCCUGUAAAAUAGGAGGGAUGGACCCCCACAGAUCAUUGUAAAAGGUUCUUACAAAGAAAAAUCCUCCUGGACUGGGCACGGUGGCUCACGCCUGUAAUCCCAGCACUUUGAGCGGAUCACACUUCGAGACCAACCUGACCAACAUGGAGAAACCCCGUCUCUACUAAAUUAGCCGGGCGUAGUGGCGCAUGCCUGUAAUCCCAGCUACUCUGGAGGCUGAGGCAGGAGAAUCGCUUUAACCCGGGAGGCAGAGGUUGUGGUGAGCCGAGAUCGCGCCAUUGCACUCCAGCCUGGGCAACAAGAGCGGAAUUCUGUCUCAAAAAAAAAAAAGAGAGAAAAGAAAAAUCCUGGAAGUCAAGUAAAAAUGUGUGAAGGUGUUUUAUAAAAUAUGAAAUAUCUAGAAUACACAAAUCUAUAGAAGGACUCGGGGAAAGGGGAGUGAAUGCUAAUAAAUACAGAGGUUCUUUCUGGGGUGAUGAAAAUGUACUAGUACUGAUUGUGGCCGCGCUAGCACAAAAAUCCGUUUCAUUGGCCAGACGCUAUGGCCCAGGGAAAAAAAGAAGGACUAGGGGGAAUGGGGAGUGAAUGCUAAUGAAUAUGCAGUUUCUUUUUGUGGUCAUGAAAGUGCACUAAAAUUUUCAUGCUAGCACAAAAAUUGAAUUGUACACUUCAAAUAGGUGUAUUUGUGAUGUGCAUUCUAGCUCCAUAAAACUCAAAAUGUGUGAAAAUUCUUUGUAACUUUACUAAAAAUUGG